UACGUAGGGGGCAAGCGUUGUCCGGAUUUAUUGGGCGUAAAGAGCGUGUAGGCGGUUAGGUAGGUCCGUUGUGAAAACUCGAGGCUCAACCUCGAGACGCCGAUGGAAACCAUCUGACUAGAGUCCGGAAGAGGAAAGUGGAAUUCCUGGUGUAGCGGUGAAAUGCGCAGAUAUCAGGAAGAACACCCGUGGCGAAGGCGGCUCUCUGGAACGGUACUGACGCUGAGACGCGAAAGCGUGGGGAGCGAACAGG
rnacentral:rRNA from 1 species